AACAAUGAUUUCCAGUUCCUGUAAAUGCUGCGGUUUCCGCUAGGACUGAAUAAAAUACCAUUUUCUCUAUCCCCUCAGCUGUUGAAUGGUUUCUGGUUUUGUUUGUUUGUUUGUUUGUUUGUUUUCAUUUGUUGGUUUUUGUUUUUGUUUCUGCUAUUGUGAAGCCCUAGGCAUGAAGUGCAAAUAUUCCUGUGGUAUGCUGACUUCCUCCUUCAGGAACGUCUUCCAGAGAUUGCUAAGGACACAUGAGAGGAGCCUAGCAUGGCUGUUCGUUGAGAGGCCCAACAAGCAGCUGACUGAGACAGAAGCAGAUACUUACACCCAACCAAUGGACAGAAGCUGGGGUCUCUGUGGUUGAAUUAAGGAAAGGCUGGAAGAAGAGGGUGACCCCAUAGGAAGACCAGCAGUCUCAAAUAACUCAGACCCCUGAGAUCUCUCAGAUACUGAACCACCAACCAGGCAGCAUACACCAGCUGAUAUGAACGGCCUCCCCCUGCCCCCAUCUCCCAACACAUACACAGCAGAGGACUGCCUGGUCUGACCUCAGUGAGAGAAGAUGCACCUAACCCUUGAGCGACUUGGGGCUUCAGGGAAUGGGGAGGUCUGGCAGGGUGUGGGGGUACGUGUGUGGGUGUGGAGAUGUCUUCUUGGAGACAGGGGAGGAAGAAUGGGUUGAGGAACUGUUGGAGGGCAGAAUGGGAGGGUGAUAAAGACUGGACUGUAAAAAAAAAAGAUUAAAGAUGAAAACAAAAAGAAAAUAAAUAAAAAUAAUUUUGAAAAUUAAAAAAAA
rnacentral:lncRNA from 1 species